rnacentral:rRNA from 1 species
GACGAACGCUGGCGGCGUGCUUAACACAUGCAAGUCGAACGGAAAGGCCCUGCUUUUGUGGGGUGCUCGAGUGGCGAACGGGUGAGUAACACGGGAGUAACCUGCCCUUGACGUUGGGAUAACUUCAGGAAACUGGGGCUAAUACCGGAUAGGAGCUCCUGCUGCAUGGUGGGGGUUGGAAAGUUUCGGCGGUUGGGGAUGGACUCGCGGCUUAUGAGCUUGUUGGUGGGGUAGUGGCUUACCAAGGGUUUGGCGGGUAGCCGGCCUGAGAGGGGGACCGGCCACAUUGGGACUGAGAGACGGACCAGACUCCUACGGGAGGCAGCAGUGGGGAAUAUUGCACAAUGGGCGGGAGCCUGAUGCAGCAACGCCGCGAGCGGGAUGACGGCCUUCGGGUUGUAAACCGCUUUCGCCUGUGACGAAGCGGGAGUGACGGUAAUGGGUAAAGAAGCACCGGCUAACUACGUG